rnacentral:rRNA from 1 species
AUACGUAGGUGGCAAGCGUUGUCCGGAAUUAUUGGGCGUAAAGCGCGCGCAGGCGGUCCUUUAAGUCUGAUGUGAAAGCCCACGGCUCAACCGUGGAGGGUCAUUGGAAACUGGGGGACUUGAGUGCAGAAGAGGAAAGUGGAAUUCCAAGUGGAGCGGUGAAAUGCGUAGAGAUUUGGAGGAACACCAGUGGCGAAGGCGACUUUCUGGUCUGUAACUGACGCUGAGGCGCGAAAGCGUGGGGAGCAAACAGGAUUAGAUACCCUGGUAGUCCACGCCGUAAACGAUGAGUGCUAAGUGUUAGGGGGUUUCCGCCCCUUAGUGCUGCAGCUAACGCAUUAAGCACUCCGCCUGGGGAGUACGGUCGCAAGACUGAAACUCAAAUGAAUUGGCGGGG